GGACCCCUGGCGCAACGGUAGCGCGUUCGACUCCAGAUCGAAAGGUUAUCUGUGUAUGUGUUGAUCGCUUCCAGCAACUCUGACUUCCGCUAAUCCGUCUCCUCAGUCAAAUCAGGUGGGGUUCA
rnacentral:tRNA from 1 species